GAGCUCACUCAGACAGCACACACACUCAAACUGAAACAAAGCAGAGACUAGCCUGGCCCCUGAGGAAGGGUGACAUACAAAUUCAUAAAAUUCAUAAAGCAUUA
rnacentral:snRNA from 1 species